UCCCUCGUGGCGCAAUUGGCUAGCGCGUUCGACUGUUACUUGAAGUAAUUCAAAUACAGAUUGAUCGAGAGGUUGGUGGUUCAAGCCCACCCGAGGGAG